UACGAAGGUGGCGACUGUUGUUCGGAUUUACUGGGCGUAAAGCGUCCGCAGGUGGUUUAUUACGUCAGGUGUGAAAGCCCCGUGCUCAACAUGGGAACUGCACUUGAAACGGAUUGACUUGAAGGUAAGAGAGGUUGGCAGAAUAACUGGCGUAGAGGUGAAAUUCGUAGAUAUCAGUUGGAAUACCCAUGGCGAAGGCAGCUAACUGGCUUAUUCUUGACACUCAUGGACGACAGCGUGGGGAGCAAACAGG
rnacentral:rRNA from 1 species